rnacentral:rRNA from 1 species
UACGUAGGGGGCUAGCGUUGUCCGGAUUUAUUGGGCGUAAAGAGCGUGUAGGCGGUUAGGUAGGUCCGUUGUGAAAACUCGAGGCUCAACCUCGAGACGCCGAUGGAAACCAUCUGACUAGAGUCCGGAAGAGGAGAGUGGAAUUCCUGGUGUAGCGGUGAAAUGCGUAGAGAUCCGGAGGAACACCAGCGGCGAAGGCGGCAUCCUGGACUGGUCCUGACACUCAGGAGCGAAAGCGUGGGGAGCGAUCCGG